AUGGCAGAGACCACCGAGAACGAGUACCACACUGAUGAAGAGGAAGACCUGGUCGGAGAGGAGGAAGGAGGCACCGGGAUCGAAGGCGAGGAGGGUGGAGGCGCCGGAGAGAAGAGGAAGCGGCCUCUGAACAAGAGUCUGGGUGGCUUCAGCAAGCGUGGGGUGUGCUACCUCAGCCGCGUCCCUCCCCACAUGAACCCGUCGCACGUCCGACAAAUCUUCUCCAAGUACGGCGAGGUGCAGAGGAUCUACCUCGUACCCGAAGGUCAAGGUCAUCGCAAGCAUAGUAACGUAAAAGCGAAGGCUUACUCCGAAGGGUGGGUUGAGUUUGCAAAGAAAAGUGUCGCCAAGAGGGUGGCUAAUCUGCUUAAUGGUGAACAAAUAGGUGGGAAGAAGAGGUCAUCAUUUUAUUAUGACAUCUGGAACAUAAAGUAUCUCAGGAAGUUCAAAUGGGAUGAUCUGGUUGGUGAAAUAGCUGAGAAGACUCAUAUCAGGGAACAGAAAUUAACAUUGGAGAUAACAGCUGCGAAGAAACAACGUGAUCAUUAUCUCUCUAAUGCUGAAAAGUCUCGUACACAGAAAUUUAUUCGUGAGCGCAUAGAAAAGUGCAAUGGAAGUGCGACUGGCACCGACCCGUGCGUUGCCACGGGAAAACGUUUUAGAGGUGACACCAUUCCAAGAGAGAUAAAGCUCAAAUGGAUUUGA
rnacentral:rRNA from 1 species